rnacentral:lncRNA from 1 species
GUGACUGUUCCUGAGCCUGAGCAGUGCGCGAUCUGAAGAGCUGGUGCAAACAUCCUCAUCACUCACACCAUCACAUUUUACUCCAAAUGGGUUCCUUCUCAUGGUGUUCUAUGCCGUGCAUGCUGAGAGACUGUUGACAGUGUCAAGUUCAGCAGCAAAGCGGGCCAUGAUGUGUGCAUGUCUACAAGGUCAAGCUUCCAUGAGAGCCACAAGUACUGACGAGAGAGGCCAGAACCCUUAAAUGAUGUAUGUGGGCCAUUUGCAAAGAAUGUGCUGUUUCACAGAAGAGACUGGGAUAUGUGCAGAUACAAAGGGAUGCCUGUACUUUCAGGAAGCUGAGGGCAGGAAAGCUUUCCUGGAUGUCAAUAGCAGAUGAGAACAUCAGAGGUAAAGUCUGGAGGAGAAAUGAUCACGCACACUGCAGAGCUUCAUGA